GACGAACGCUGGCGGCGUGCUUAACACAUGCAAGUCGAACGGAAAGGCGCGGCGUUUGUGGGGUGCUCGAGUGGCGAACGGGUGAGUAACACGUGAGGAACCUGCCCUUGACUGUGGGAUAACUUCAGGAAACUGGGGCGAAUACCGGAGAGGAUCUCCUGCUGCAUGGGGGUGGUUGGAAAGAGUCGGCGGUGGUGGAUCGACUCGCGGCUUAUCAGCUGGUUGGUGGGGUAGUGGCGGACGAAGGCUUCGACGGGUAGCCGGCCUGAGAGGGUGACCGGCCACAUUGGGACUGCGGUAGGGACCAGAAUCCUACGGGAGGCAGAAGUGGGGAAUAUUGCAGAGUGGGCGGAAGCCUGAUGCAGCAACGCCGCGUGCGGGAUGACCGCCUUCUGGUUAUAAACCGCUUUCGACUGUGCCGAAGCGUGCGUGACGGUAAUGGGUCAAGAAGCACCGGCUAACUACGUG
rnacentral:rRNA from 1 species